rnacentral:rRNA from 1 species
UACGGAGGGAGCUAGCGUUGUUCGGAAUUACUGGGCGUAAAGCGUGCGCAGGCGGUUUGCUAAGACAGGUGUGAAAUCCCCGGGCUUAACCUGGGAACUGCGUCUGAUACUGGAUGGCUUGAGUUUGGGAGAGGGAUGCGGAAUUCCAGGUGUAGCGGUGAAAUGCGUAGAUAUCUGGAGGAACACCGGUGGCGAAGGCGGCAUCCUGGACCAAUUCUGACGCUGAGGAGCGAAAGCCAGGGGAGCAAACGGG